UGCUAUACAUGCAGUCGAACGAGUUCUCGUUGAUGAUCGGUGCUUGCACCGAGAUUCAACAUGGAACGAGUGGCGGACGGGUGAGUAACACGUGGGUAACCUGCCCUUAAGUGGGGGAUAACAUUUGGAAACAGAUGCUAAUACCGCAUAGAUCCAAGAACCGCAUGGUUCUUGGCUGAAAGAUGGCGUAAGCUAUCGCUUUUGGAUGGACCCGCGGCGUAUUAGCUAGUUGGUGAGGUAAUGGCUCACCAAGGCGAUGAUACGUAGCCGAACUGAGAGGUUGAUCGGCCACAUUGGGACUGAGACACGGCCCAAACUCCUACGGGAGGCAGCAGUAGGGAAUCUUCCACAAUGGACGCAAGUCUGAUGGAGCAACGCCGCGUGAGUGAAGAAGGCUUUCGGGUCGUAAAACUCUGUUGUUGGAGAAGAAUGGUCGGCAGAGUAACUGUUGUCGGCGUGACGGUAUCCAACCAGAAAGCCACGGCUAACUACGUGCCAGCAGCCGCGGUAAUACGUAGGUGGCAAGCGUUAUCCGGAUUUAUUGGGCGUAAAGCGAGCGCAGGCGGUUUUUUAAGUCUGAUGUGAAAGCCCUCGGCUUAACCGAGGAAGCGCAUCGGAAACUGGGAAACUUGAGUGCAGAAGAGGACAGUGGAACUCCAUGUGUAGCGGUGAAAUGCGUAGAUAUAUGGAAGAACACCAGUGGCGAAGGCGGCUGUCUGGUCUGUAACUGACGCUGAGGCUCGAAAGCAUGGGUAGCGAACAGGAUUAGAUACCCUGGUAGUCCAUGCCGUAAACGAUGAAUGCUAGGUGUUGGAGGGUUUCCGCCCUUCAGUGCCGCAGCUAACGCAUUAAGCAUUCCGCCUGGGGAGUACGACCGCAAGGUUGAAACUCAAAGGAAUUGACGGGGGCCCGCACAAGCGGUGGAGCAUGUGGUUUAAUUCGAAGCAACGCGAAGAACCUUACCAGGUCUUGACAUCUUUUGAUCACCUGAGAGAUCAGGUUUCCCCUUCGGGGGCAAAAUGACAGGUGGUGCAUGGUUGUCGUCAGCUCGUGUCGUGAGAUGUUGGGUUAAGUCCCGCAACGAGCGCAACCCUUAUGACUAGUUGCCAGCAUUUAGUUGGGCACUCUAGUAAGACUGCCGGUGACAAACCGGAGGAAGGUGGGGAUGACGUCAAAUCAUCAUGCCCCUUAUGACCUGGGCUACACACGUGCUACAAUGGAUGGUACAACGAGUUGCGAGACCGCGAGGUCAAGCUAAUCUCUUAAAGCCAUUCUCAGUUCGGACUGUAGGCUGCAACUCGCCUACACGAAGUCGGAAUCGCUAGUAAUCGCGGAUCAGCACGCCGCGGUGAAUACGUUCCCGGGCCUUGUACACACCGCCCGUCACACCAUGAGAGUUUGUAACACCCGAAGCCGGUGGCGUAACCCUUUUAGGGAGCGAGCCGUCUAAGGUG
rnacentral:rRNA from 1 species